rnacentral:rRNA from 1 species
UACGUAGGGUGCAAGCGUUAAUCGGAGUUACUGGGCGUAAAGCGUGCGCAGGCGGCUUUGCAAGACAGAUGUGAAAUCCCCGGGCUCAACCUGGGAACUGCAUUUGUGACUGCAUGGCUAGAGUACGGUAGAGGGGGAUGGAAUUCCGCGUGUAGCAGUGAAAUGCGUAGAUAUGCGGAGGAACACCGAUGGCGAAGGCAAUCCCCUGGACCUGUACUGACGCUCAUGCACGAAAGCGUGGGGAGCAAACAGG